UACGUAGGGGCCUAGCGUUGUCCGGAUUUAUUGGGCGUAAAGAGCUCGUAGGCGGUUCGGCAAGUCGGAUGUGAAAUCUCCACGCUCAACGUGGAGGGGCCAUUCGAAACUGCCGUGACUCGAGUCCGGUAGGGGAGUGUGGAAUUCCGCGUGUAGCAGUGAAAUGCGUAGAGAUGCGGAGGAACACCGAUGGCGAAGGCAGCCCCCUGGGCUAACACUGACGCUCAGGCACGAAAGCGUGGGGAGCAAACAGG
rnacentral:rRNA from 1 species